rnacentral:rRNA from 1 species
UGGACCUGAGCUCAGGCAAGACUACCCGCUGAACUUAAGCAUAUCAAUAAGCGGAGGAAAAGAAACCAACCAGGAUUCCCUUAGUAACGGCGAGCGAACCGGGAACAGCCCAGCGUGUCAAUCUGGCCUUUCGGGGUCCGAGUUGUGGUCUGGAGGGCGGCGCUCCGCGCGGUCCGAUCGCCAAGUCCGCUGGAAAGCGGCGUCGUAGAGGGUGACAACCCCGUGGGCGAUCGGCUUCCGCGCUUCUCGAGCCCGUUCCGCGGAGUCGGGUUGCUUGGGAAUGCAGCUCUAAGCCGGUGGUAAAUCCCAUCGAAGGCUAAAUAUCGGCGGGAGACCGAUAGC